rnacentral:lncRNA from 1 species
AGGUAUGGGACUGUAGGUGGAUGUAUAGAGGUAUGGGACUGUAGGUGGAGGUAUGGACUGUAGGUGGAGGUAUAGUGGUAUGGGACUGUAGGUGGAGGUAUAGAGGUAUGGGACUGUAGGUGGAGGUAUGGACUGUAGGUAGAGGUAUGGGACUGUAGGUGGAGGUAUAGAGGUAUGGGACUGUAGGUGGAGGUAUAGAGGUAUGGGACUGUAGGUGGAGGUAUAGAGGUAUGGGACUGCAGGUGGAGGUAUAGAGGUAUGGGACUGUAGGUGGUGGUAUAGAGGUAUGGGACUGUAGGUGGAGGUAUAGAGGUAUGGGACUGUAGGUGGAGGUAUAGAGGUAUGGGACUGUAGGUGGAGGUAUAGAGGUAUGGGACUGUAGGUGGAGUAGGUAUGGGACUGUAGGUGGAGGUAUAGAGGUUGGGACUGUAGGUGGAGGUAUAGAGGUAUGGGACUGUAGGUGGAGGUAUAGAGGUAUGGGACUGUAGGUGGAGGUAUAGAGGUAUGGGACUGUAGGUGGAGGUAUAGAGGUAUGGGACUGUAGGUGGAGGUAUAAAUGUAUGGUACUGUAGGUGGAGGUAUAGAGGUAUGGGACUGUAGGUGGAGGUAUAGAGGUAUGGGACUGUAGGUGGAGGUAUAGAGGUAUGGGACUGUAGGUGGAGGUAUAGAGGUAUGGGACUGUAGUGGAGGUAUAGAGGUAUGGGACUGUAGGUGGAGGUAUAGAGGUAUGGGACUGCAGGUGGAGGUAUAGAGGUAUGGGACUGUAGGUGGAGGUAUAGAGGUAUGGGACUGUAGGUGGAGGUAUAGAGGUAUGGGACUGUAGGUGGAGGUAUAGAGGUAUGGGACUGUAGGUGGAGGUAUAGAGGUAUGGGACUGUA